GUACUUUCUGAUUGAUGUUUCGGCGACCUAUUUGGGAUAGUGCACUAUAUUGUGUUAUUCAAGUGAAUCGAAUCUUUCAAAAUGGUCAUGCAAUGCUCAUAUUGUGGGAAAAAAGCCGACAGUGGGCGAACAUUCCAUCAGUUUCCAUUAAAUAAACCAGAAUUACUCAAAUCUUGGCUGGAGAAUGUCAAUCUAGGUGACCACUUCGAACCAUCGAAAAGCAUGAGAUUUAUUACUGAAAAAUCGGAUUCUGGCUAUCGGCAAAGAGAAUUACACACCUGAAGAGACAAGUCGCCUUUGCUCCAAUCAUUUUGAGAGAACCUGCUUUCGUUCCUCGGGUUGUAAGGGAUCACUCCUUUCGAGAAAUACGGCAGUCCCCACUAUAUUUCUACCCAUUCUAUCUGAAG
rnacentral:misc_RNA from 1 species